rnacentral:rRNA from 1 species
GACGAACGCUGGCGGCGUGCUUAACACAUGCAAGUCGAACGGAAAGGCCCUGCCUUUGUGGGGUGCUCGAGUGGCGAACGGGUGAGCUACACGUGAGUAACCUGCCCCUGACUGUGGGAUAACUUCAGAAAACUGGGGCUAAUACCGCAUAGGAGCUCUUGCUGCAUGGUGGGGGUGGGAAAGUUUAGGCGGUUGGGGAUGGACUCGCGGCUUAUCGGCUUGUUGGUGGGGUAGUGGCUUACCAAGGUCUUGACAGGUAGCCGGCCUGGGAGGGUGACCGGCCACAUUAGAACUGGGAUACGGCCCAGACUCCAACGGGAGGCAGCGGUGGGGAGUAUUACACAAUGGGCGGAGGCCUGAUGCGGCAACGCCGCGUGGGGGAAGAGGGGCUGCGGGUUGUGAACCGCUUUCGCCUGAGACGAGGCGUGAAUGACGGUAAUGGGUGAAGAAGCACCGGCUAACUACGUG